AUUGAACGCUGGCGGCAGGCUUAACACAUGCAAGUCGAGCGAGCGGCGGACGGGUGAGUAAUGUCUGGGAAACUGCCUGAUGGAGGGGGAUAACUACUGGAAACGGUAGCUAAUACCGCAUACCAUCAGAUGUGCCCAGAUGGGAUUCGCUAGUAGGUGGGGUAAUGGCUCACCUAGGCGACGAUCCCUAUCUGGUCUGAGAGGAUGACCAGCCAAACGGGAACUGAGACACGGGCCAGACUCCUACGGGAGGCAGAAGUGGGGAAUAUUGCACAAGGGGCGCAAGCCUGAUGCAGACAUGCCGCGUGUGUGAAGAAGGCCUUCGGGUUGUAAAGCACUUUCAGCGAGGAGGAGGGAAUCGAAGAAGAAGCACCGGCUAACUCCGUGCCAGCCGCCGCGGUAAUUG
rnacentral:rRNA from 1 species